rnacentral:lncRNA from 1 species
GGGAACCUCUCUCCAGACAUGAUCAAGAGAAACUGGCGAGGGACUGACAUGAUCUAGCUUACCUUGGGUCACCGAACGGAUUUGGCAUGUGACAUAAUUAUCCCAGCGAUCACUAAAACUGUAAAUUUGGAUGCAAUUAAGAGAGAAAACUCCACACAUUUAUGGAAAUUUAAGAUAUUGAAUAUGUAGUAUAUGCCAGACAAGAUGAUAAUAAAAACUAAAAGGUGA